rnacentral:lncRNA from 1 species
CAAAUAAUUAUGAUUAUACAAAUUCUAUUUUGCCCUCAGGUCAGAAGAAACUAUUUCCUACUUAUUCUUUCCUUUCCCUGAAAAUAAUCUUGGCCAAAGGAAUAAUCUUGGCAAAAGGAAAAAAUCUUGGCCAAUGGAAGACUCUCCUCAGCAAUCUGUAUCUCAGAAGGACCAGAUGAGAAAACUAACCAGUAUCCGUCAUCAUUGUCUCUGGGCCAAUGGAAGCAAGCGCCUGAAUGAGUCAGCUCCCAUCAGCCCUAACUGGGACAAUUCUUCAGAAAGACAGGCAGCUGCAUACUUACAUCACCUAGGAGAUGGAAGCCACCAGCCCAGCAAAGAGAUCUGAAGAAGUGAGUCAUCACAAAGACUAUUACAGUCCAUGGCUUGCACUUGCUUUUCACAUUAAGUUCACUUUAACAGUUAUAUUGUCUUUAGAGUAUUGCAAUUGUGACUUGUGGAAAAACUUAUGAGGGAUGUGUUAUUGGAAUGAAUAGAGUCCGUACUGCUGUAGUUGCUCUCCAAAACAAAACUGAUUUUUUCUAGCAUUCCAGAACCCUAGGACAGCAGUUUUGUAAUCUAACGGCUUGCCUUGUGAGGUGGCCCAGAUUCUCAUCCCUGAGAAGGCUGAACUCCUGGUUAUGAUGGCCUCAUCAAUGCCAUGAUUGGUUUGCAUGCCUAUAUACAACUAAAAUGGGAAAUGACGAUAUCCAAAAAUGUCCCAGUGGUUUAUCUUCAUACCAGACAUUUUUUAAAAAAUAUUUUAUUUAUCCGUUCAUGAGAGAAAGAGAGGCAGACACAUAGACAGAAGGAUAAGCAGGCUCCCCACAGGGAACCCUAUGCAGAAUUUGAUCCCUGGACCCUGAGAUCAUGCCCUGAGCCAAAGGCAGCUGCUCAAGCACUGAGCCACCCAGGCAUCCCUGUACCAGCCAUUCUAUCCAGCCCCCAUACAUAACAGCAGUCAUACCUCCUCAUGAAGAUCAGGAUCAAUUACAACUUCCAGUGUAUCCCCUUUCUGUGCCUGCUGCUUCAUAGACACCAGAACCCACAAUCAUCAGAUAGCAGCUUGCAUCUGUAAGUUUAGGCAGACUUCUAUUCUAUCCAUUGGUGGAAGCAUCCUAUCCUCACUAGUAACCAAGAUCUAUAUAUUCACUGAGUCUGUACAUGUAGGGGAACAGGAAAUACAACUUCCUCCAAGUAUUUCACUGGCAAGGAGAAUAAAUAGAGCCAUUUCUAUUUUUAUUCCUUGGUU